UUACGGCCAUAUAGCGGUGAAAAACCGCUUCCCAUACAAUCAGCGAAGUUAAGCAAUGUCGAGCCUGGUCAGUAUCGAGAUAGUUGACCGCUUGGAAAUAUCAAGUGCUGUAU